UACGGGGGGAGCAAGCGUUGUUCGGAUUUACUGGGCGUAAAGGGCGCGUAGGCGGCCACUGCAAGUCAGUUGUGAAAUCUCCGGGCUUAACUCGGAAAGGUCAACUGAUACUGCAGGGCUAGAGUGCAGAAGGGGCAACUGGAAUUCUCGGUGUAGCGGUGAAAUGCGUAGAUAUGACAUAGAACACCAAUUGCGAAGGCAGCUCGCUACACGAAUAUUGACUCUGAGGCACGAAAGCGUGGGGAUCAAACAGG
rnacentral:rRNA from 1 species